AGAAGCAAAGACCAUGAAGACAUUGAUGAUGAACUAGUAGCUGAAAAUACACUAUGGCAAAAUGUUCCCACCUCUUACCAAAAUGAACACUGAAGAAAAAUGAAGAGCAGUGAAGAGCACCAACAAAAAGUUGCAGAACAGAAAUAGCCACGCUCCUCUGGAGUCUGAUUCAUCCACAGCCAUCAUAAAAAAGACAGGGUUUCUAUAUUGGAGUAUGUUUCCAUUGGGCAGAGCUCACAGGUGGUGGUGGGAAGACAAAGAAUGAUGCAGUGACCUUGGCAGGGGG